AGACAAGCCAACAAAACCCGAUAAGUAACAGGAGUUUCGCAGUUGGAUGAACACAGGCCGAACAUUCACGACCGAAGAAGCCAAACGAGGAACGUGAAACGACGAAGGAGGUGUUCUCUGUUCGGGAACAAGAAAGGAGGCGACGAACGAAGGGGUAAGCGGACAGAGAAUGAGCCGAGGGGAGUGAUGAUUUGGUGGAACCAAACCGGUGCUGCCAGUGCUGUCGCGACGAGGAGAGUGUCACGCUCUCUCUGCUGUGCGUGGAAGAAACGAGGAGAGGGUCGCGCUUCGAGCAAGGCGACAGGAACGCCAGGAAGUAACACGCUUGCUAUUGUGAGCAACCAGUACCACUUUGGCGGCUCUUUUUGCCUUGAUGCUGGGAUUAUUAGGAGAAACGCGAGUCUGUCUCGUUGUUCGGCAAAAGGAGGUGGCGUUGGAGAGUCUGGAUCGAAGCGAAGGUGGUGGAGGAUUAAGAGUAUACUGGGAAGACUGGAAAGGGAUUUUCUGAGAAGUUUUCGGGAAGUUUUACAAUUACAUUUCGAUUAUUUUAAACGGACAGCAUACAGAAUAUUGUGAUUCGAGAUUACUACAGAUUAUCUCCUUUGGACUUUCGAAUAUCAAUAUUUCCAUAUGAACCUCUCUCGUGAACUCACAAGAAAAUUAUGAUACUGAAGAGGUUUUAUGAAAUUGCGCUGACCCAGUUUCCCUUGCUUUCCUUGUACACGAUUGGAUUGAAUGGCGUCUCGUGGAUUGAUCCUAGUUUAACGGGGACAGGUACUAUCGUCGCAAGAAUCUAUGGUUUGUCUUUCACUCCUUCAGAUAUUCUGAUUUUAUCUCACCUUUGUAACUUAUUAUCGAUAAUUGACGAUGUAGAAAACGAUAAUUCUAAGGAUUCCAACUUCAAUGCGACUGUUAGGUUCGUGACAUGAAACGGAGAAAGUUUGUGUUUCAGAUAAGAUGGAACUUAUUACGCUCCAUCAUUCAGUUAUUUAAGAAAACCCAAUAGUUUGUGAACUGAAAAUAAGUUCCUUGGAAAUAUUUCCUUCGUGUAUCACGCACAAUUAAACAUCUUCGAAAUUAAGAAGCCAAAUUAGACGAUUCCACUUUUCGAAAUGUCCUCAGUUUUAUCUGUUACCAAUCAUGUUUGAACAUAAAGUUGUCAUAUUACAAAACACUUCCUUAUGUUCAAUUAACAGCACAAUCGAUUCUUGUUUCUCGAUAUUUCUAUUUUAAUUAUGAUUAUAAGAAUUAUAGAUUUCAGCAAUGAUCAUUUUCCACCACUUCCAAACGUAAAACUACUAUGCUACACCUUUUCCGUCUAAAAUACAGCUCUUAAAAAUCGAAGCUACAGGAAUUAAAUUAAAGGAAAAUCCUGCAGCUAUUUUGCUUGUAUACGUCUGUUAAUUGUUGUUAAUUAAAUAAUACCAAGAUUCACUGAUUGUUUUCAAAAAUUUUGCACUUCCAUCACUAUGCGUGGCAUUUGGGAAACGUGUGCCUCUCGACGCUUGGAACCAUACCUGUAGUAUAGUUGCCAUACUUCUUUAACGAAAAGACAGUAAAGAUAGUCAGAAGACUUGUUAACCAAAGGACAAUAACGUUUUACUUGGCUGGCUCAUUUGAAUUGGUAAACUCAGUUUCGAUGGGAAAACCAAAGAGGAAAAUCGUGGCUAGGCGAAACUAAAAACGUAGCCGGUUCCAUCGGAGACAGUGGCACGGUGUGUCAGUGACCCUGCGGUCGAGGCUGCUGCAGCAGGAAAACGCGAAACCGCCGCGCGGGUAGAUAUCAAUUUGUCUGUGUUCGCUAGGAAAAAAAGUUGGCCGGCCUUCUGACGUUCGCCGCUGAUAUUGCCCGCAGUUCACGCUGACGUGCCAUUUACUCACUCGAACGACCUCCUCACGGCCGUUCGUUCUACCUCCUGCCGUUCCACCUCCUCAUCAGCGUUCCACGAUCGUUCGUUUUAUCGAGGAAGCUCAGGAUGAAAGAUAAUAUCGAGACUGAUUAAAUAUAGCAGAACGCUCCAGCAAGAUUUUCGUCCUUUUAAUGGGAAUACGGGAAUACGAGAAGGGAAAUAUUGGAAUCUUUCGACUUACUUAAGACGGAACUUAACUCUUUGGCGCGUGGAUGAAUAUGAUCUUUGUUUGAGAGAACAACGCUUGGAUAGGAAAGGAAAAGGCGCAACUACAAGACUGUCUUCUUUUCUUAAACGCGGACAAAAAUUGCCCAUUAUGCGAUAAUUACACUGAUACAUUGGAGUAAGGCAAUAAUGUAAUAAUUGCAAAUGCAAUUCUCAAGAGUUCCACCAUUUGUAAACACAAGAUCGAAAAAUAGUGAACCGAGCAACCUGCUUGUUGCCUUUUCUACGACAUUUCCAGGUUGGAAAAAUUUGCCAAACGUUCAGCUGGACGAAUUGUAAAGUAGAAAUUAAAUAAGUAGAAAAAAAGUUUCCAACAAACAGCAGCUUAUAGAAACAUUUUGAAGCAACGUAAUCUGCAGCUGGAUUCGCACUGAAGCGACAACGAGGAAUUUUUUGUCGCUUUUUGUUGUUACGUGUUGCAGGACAUUUCCAACGAACAGUAACUCAUAGAAAUAAUUUCUGUACACUGGUGAAAGUUUUCAAUAAACACGGAACAGCAAAAAGUUGCUUGAUGUUGCUUCAUCAAGCGACAUAUAUAUAUAUGUAUUUUUAAUGCUUCCAGAUUAGCGCAGAUUUAAU